AGUCUCUCUCUCUGUCUCUCUAUCUAUCUCCACUUCACAUUCCUCGUCAAUUUUUUUUUACAAACUCUUGACAACUUUAGCCUUUUCCCAAACUUCGAAGCCCCCGCCCACCCUGGCUCUUGUCUUUUUCUCCUCUUUUUCUUUAUCCGUCUGUUCUCUUCUUCCAGUGGCUCUCAGUGUAAAACUGAUCCUCCUGACUCCUGCCCACCCGAAUUCCACCAGGGCAGCUGAGGCUCGGGAAGGAGUCUGGCAAAGAGAAUUCUGCUGCAGAGUGGGAACAGGGGGGCUGGGCGGGGAGUGUGGAGCGUGCUGGGGGGCCAAGGUUGGGAGCAAGUCAGCUAUAUUCACACGUGAUUAUUACCUUUUAUCCCAUGAGCAGAAGUGAGCAGAGUAAGACCUGCAAGUCUAACCCUGCAAGGAGAACCUCCAAAAUCUCCUCAUUCUGUUUAGUUUCAGCGAAUCACAAACAUUAGUCUGCAUCCCAUGUUCGCUUUUCUUUUUGUUGGUUCACCUACCAAGUUUAUCCUCUGACCUUCAUGGGACCUCCCGGGACCAUGGGAGCUCUAAAAAGCCAUUGUGUGAAAAUCUCCUUUAUUUCUAAGGACCACUAGGUAAAGAGUCUGUGACCUUCUCUGGCCAUUCAUCACAGGAUGAACAGUUCCUUUUAGAAAAUUAUUAUAGCCCACGUGCCUCAUGCUACAUGUUAAGCCCAGACUGUGGUGGCCAGGGUCAGUGUGGAAGAAGGCUGUUGGGAGGCCACGGGGAAGGGCAGAAACUUGUCUGGACUGGGAAGCAUCGUCCCUGUACAUAUACUGACUUCAAAAGUCCUGAAUGCCCUGUGUUGGGUGGUGCCAGACCUGGAGAGGAGAAGAUUAAAACACUAAUGGAUGUUUUGUCUACACCCAUCAGCUUACACGGUGGUUUAGAACACAAGCAUAUUUUACAUGAAGACAUCGAAAUUUUUCUUAACCUUUUAUGGACUAGUUGAAAUGUUCUCAACAUUAUCAUUUCAUCCUAAGUUUUGCUGUAGUAACUUAUGGUUCUUUCCUGAAUCAAGUUUGUUGAUAACUAUAUUAAAUAGUAGACUCCCAAACUCAAAAGUGACAUUUCUGUAAGGGUUUUGACUGUGCAGUGUGUUGUGUCUGAGUUAACUUAGGAUGAUCUUAGUACAAUUUAAGCGUUUGUGUGGCUUGUGGCUCAGCCUGAUCUCCAGAGGAAUAAAAAAAUAUAACCAGAGUAAACGUUUGGUUGAGUUCGAAACCUCUGCUGACCUACAAGAGAGCCAGAGAAAAGGAAAGGAAAAGGGGAAGGCACGUGAGGUGACACUGUCAGGGUACAGAGACUGUUUUUGGAGUAGAAUAUCAGUAAAUCAGGAGCUGGAAUUAUGUAAAGAACUCCAGUUAUAGCAAAGAGACCCCACAAUGCAAUGGCUCGAACGAGUGAGAAAUCAAUUUCUCUUUCAGUACGUCUCCAAGGCAGAUGGGCAAGCCCUGUUCCAGGAAGUCAGUCAGGGAUCCAGGCUGGUGGGGUGGCUCUGCCAUCCUCCGCAGGUGCUCCAGUCUGUUCUAUUUCCAGCCAGCAGGAAGGAAAGGAGACAACACAACUGGGGCAAGCACCUUUGAAUUUAUUUUUCAGUAGAAAAUCCCAGACGUAUCCAUAUAAAUGAAGGGAUAAUGUAGGAUAAUACAUCCCUCUGUACCCAUCACUCAGCUUCAAGUAUCUUCAUGUGGUUGAACCUGUACCAUUAUAUCCCCCAGAUAUGUCCUCCUUUGCUGGCUUAUUUGAAAAAUCAAAUCUCAGACAUCUUGAAGCAGAUGAUCUGGAAGUUGUACACAUCACUACAUCACUUGUUAAAAAUGUAGUCACAUGGCCACGUCCAGCUGCAAGCAAGGCUGGGCGAAAGCUCUAGCUGGGUGGCUGCAAACCCAGGAAGGAGGGAAGAAUGCCUUACUGGAUUCAGGCUUUGUGGAGAGUCCUUGAGAAAGGUCAGAGGUGGAAAAAUUAUGUGACUCGAAGAAAGACUAAGGAUGUUUCUGUAGAGCAGCAAGGUCCACAUAGUGAGAACUGCAUACUAACUCCGUGUGAAAGGACACGGAGUCUUAGGCACUUGAAUUUUCAGAAAAUACAACACUGGCUGACCAAAAACAGGACAGCAAAAUGAAGUGGCUUAGGAAGUCACCGCAGAAGCUUGCUUUUUUCUUACCCGUGUAAAAUUAGCCAAGGGAAUGAUUUUAGAGGAGAGUCAAUAUAUGUGUAAAUUAUGAACAUAGGUUAUUUGCUGUUGAAAUCCUGCCUUUGAAAGUGUUAAAAGGUGUAAUGCGUUUUUGAGAUUUCGUGUAUUUUCAUGUAAUAAAAAGAACAAGACACUACAGAAUAAAAUGAGCAGAAGAUGAACUGGUUGAAACUACUGAAACACAGAGUUCCCAUCAUGGUUCAGCAAAAACGAAUUUGACUAGUAUCCAUUGAGGACACAGGUUCAAUCCCUGGCCUCACUCAGUGGGUUAAGGAUCCAGUGUAGCCGUGAGCUGUGGUGUAGAUCGCAGAUGUGGCUUGGAUCUGGCGUUGCUGUGGCUGUGGUGUAGGCUGGUGGCUACAGCUCCGAUUCAACCUCUAGCCUGGGAACCUCCUUAGCCGCGGGUGCAGCCCUAAAAAGACAACAAAACAAAACAAAACUAACGAAACAAUCAUGUCAAGAAACAUUUAUUGAGCAUCUCCUUAUUCUGAGGAUUGUCCUGGGUUCUCCAGGAGAUGCAGUGAUAACAAAUCCAUAGUCCUUGUUCUCCCAGGGGCUCUGUCUGAGGGCAGAUACACAUGAAAAUAGCUAACGAACUAUAACACCAGACAGAAUCAAUCAGAGGCCACAGUUGAAGGACAACUAGCAGAUAUCCACUGUUUCACCUGCCCUGUCCCUUCUCACAAGUAUCUUGAUUUUUCUUCAGGCCACCCCCUUCGCUCUCAGUUCACAGUGGAGCUGAUACAACCUCCAUGUCCAGGUUUCUUUACCUGUAAAAGUAUGCUGACCCUACCUUGAAGCAUGAUUUUGAGGCCGAGUGGAAUUGCUGUGUGUGAAAGACAUGUAUGUGUGAAUUAUUACCAUUAUUACUGAUUUGCCGUGGGUAGAAUAAAUAAGAAUAAAGGAAGUAAUGACAUUUUCUAGAACCAAUAUUGUUUGGGAAUAAUUGAUUUUAAGACAAAUAAAAUACACAAAGAUUCUCGCUGUCAUUUUCAAAUACCAUGCAUAUUCAUUUACAAGGGAGCACUCUGUAUUCAUGAUUUUGAAUUGGGGGCAUUUUUCUUCAUGGUGCCUGUUUCCGGUUUCCCAGGCUCCUUCUUGCCCGGGCUCUUUAUGCACAUACAUGGCCUUGAAGCCAGGAGGCAACCCUUCCGUCCUCUGACUUGAGGGCUGGAGUGUCACAGGCAACCUUUCCCUCCCCCACCCCCACCCCUGGGGCAUCAUGUUUUCCCACCCUCUGUAGUCAGGAGGUUGCAAAUCUCCUGUCUUUCUAGAAAACCAUUGAUUGUAUUUAUACAUUAGCCUUUUGUGUAGUAGGUUUUGAGUUAGAUUUAGUCCCAGUGGCUGAAAGUUCAGCAUUUCCUGAAUAUUUUCCUCCAAAUCCACACCCGUGUGUGGCAGGGAAGAAGCUGAAGGAUGAAUAGGCUUCCAUGUUGCUGGGUUAUUGAUAGGGAGAUGCUGGCAGAAAUUUGCAAGCAUUUGCAUAUAUACAAUUGUCUGUCUGAUGUUUGCUUCCAGGCUUGCUCUCCUUCUCUGCCCCCCCACCCCGUUCUCUUUGUGCAGUGAAUUACUAAUACAAAUACAGAUAAUGAAAUUUCUGAUCCCAGCCUGCAAAGCAAAUGCACAUCUUGGAAGGUAUCUGGGGAACAUAGAUAGAUUCUCUUGAUCUUGUUGCUUUAUCCAGACAAGGCAAUGAAGGGGAGAAAGUAAUUACAGGAACUUGUCUUUGAAGGUAGAACGAGUGGCACUGACAGGAUUUCUUUUUAGAGAAUCUUGUAGAGAUGCCAUUUUCUUGUUAAUACCAAUAGGUAUUUCCCUGGAAACAGAGUUUACUUAUUAAAAUGUGUGUUCGGCAGAUGGGACGCUGUCCCAGGAAGCAGAACAAGUUCCGUCCUUGUGGCUUCAGCACAGGAUGGGUCUGGGGCAGAUGGCACCCCAGGAUGGAGGCGUUCGCCAGGGACACCAUGAUAGUGCAAAUCCUGGAGGCAGGAGGAAAGCAAAUUUGCAUCUUUUGGUGAACUAGUGCUUGCACCACCAGUUCCUUAAAGUGGAAGCCUGACUUUGCCAGGCAACUGGAGACAGUGGCUCGGUGGCCCUGAUUAGGUGGCAGUAACAUCAGGAAAUCUCCAGAAUAUGUUCCUAUUAGCUAUUAGCUAUCAGAAAGUUCCAUGGAGAAAAAAAAAAACAACCUGAAAAGCAGCUUUAAUUGGGAACUUUUCAAGGUAACAAGCAUUUUCUUACACCUAUCCCUGCAGUAGACCAAAAAUUCAUACUCUGGUGAAUAAGCAACUAAAGUUAAGCCCAUGUUUUCUGAAGCAAUCACAUGAAUAAGCAAUGAAGGUUUAAUUGUCAAUAUGCUAUAUAAUUUAUGCCAUAACGUGAUCAACUUUGGUUCCACAAAUGCAUGUCAACUCUUUAUUUCUUUUUCAAUAAUCUUUGAUCUUACCUAUUGUUGACCUCUUACCAUAUGUCAUGUAGUAAAUGCCAAUUCUGUUUGUCUGAACAGGUUUCUCAACAACCCAAGUUUGUGCUGACAGCUUGUACGGAAAGAACAAAUAUUUGCUUUAUAUUUCAUGUAAAUAUGUGCAUGCUGUCAAAUAAGACGGGCUUAAGGAGGCUAAGAUUUUGUCUUCCAUGGCUCACAAGAAGGGACAGCUAAUCUAUAUUAGAAAUAAUUUGAGAUGUAGAACUGCCAUGUGGAAAAUAUAGAUCUCCCACUAGUUGAAAUGACAUUAGUAGGAAAAAAAUUUAGCUGAAAAAGGUUAUGAAAUGUUUAUUUUGUCAUACAGCUAAAAUAUGUUAGGACUAGAAUAAAAAAAAAA
rnacentral:lncRNA from 1 species